CCAUCUGAAAGUGUUCCCUCCUUAGCUACUCCCUUCCAAAUCGUUCUCAGCCUCUCUCUCACUCACCAUCGUUCUCAGCCUCUCUCUCACUCACCAUGGUUCUCAGCCUCUCUCUUACUCCCCAUCGCUCUCAGCCUCAAUCCUACUCACCCUUGUCAAGCCUCUCAGCCUCACUCUCACUCAACCUCGUCUCUCUCCGUCGCGCGCGCCUUCAGUCUCUCCACCACGGGUUCUCUCUCCGUCAGUCUCCCUCAGUCGCGACUCCAUAUCUCUCUCUCUCUCCCCCUCCCCCUUAAGGAUCCACGGGUUCACUCUUCAGCCUCCAUCUCUCUCUUCUUAUUUUGUGACACGGGUUGGGUGCACCGGCGUUGUGUUUUUGGUUGAGGAGAAAGAUGAAGGACUCAGAUUGUAAUUUUUAAUAAUAAAAUUCAGUGAUUGCAGGAACUUCCGGGCACAAUCACUAGCUAAUGCACAUGCAGCUUUCUAAUUGGACUUUCUAAUGACAGGUUGAUGUACUUUCCAAGGGGACUAAUUUUAAUUGUAUUGGUGAUUGGGUUGUGGAGGCCACUGUAAAGUAAGAUUAGUUUGCACGCACAUUUUCUUCUACUUAUUUAUAUAUUAUCUAUCUAAAAGAGUUUCCCUUGGUGCUUGUUUGUUUGCAAUGUUAUGAGCAUUCACCUGACGAGUGCAAAGUCUUUGGUUGGAGUAGUUGGAGUUGCACAAAAGGAAAAGAAGGGGCGGGAUGUGUAUGUUAUGGUGAGCUUCUUGAUGGGAAUUCUGGAAGUUUACUUAGUACUGAGCAGCAAAUCCAUGCUCCAGCUAAUUUAAUAAAGGGCACACACCAAAUGCUUUCACAAGCAAUAUAGUGCUUUUAACAGAUUACACAGUUUUGCUUUUCUAGGCCAUGCAAAUACUGAAAGGCACUUUACAUUGUAUCUUCAUCAAGAUUGGGUAUCAAGGUGGGCUUUGCUUAAAAAUUAGGAUCAAGAAGGUUGGUAUGCGGAGAUAAUAAUAAAGGCAUACGGAGAAAGCUUGCCUUGACCACACUGCUGGCUUAGUUGCUGUGCGUAAAUAGUACUAUCGUAUCUAGUAGUUGGUGACUUAUUUUGGUAACCUCCUUGAUUGUAGAAGAUAGACAAUAUUACUUGCUAUAUUGAGGUUACUUUUGGUUAGGAUUGCUGGAUUUGAUCAUAUCUGGAUAUGGAUAUGUACUUUUGGAAAUGUUUUGGAUUGGUAAUGUAAGAACAGAUGGCAUUGAUAUAUGACAAUGUUAUAUUUUGGAUUUGUUCAGGAUA